rnacentral:rRNA from 1 species
AUUGAACGCUGGCGGCGUGCCUAACACAUGCAAGUCGAGCGGUAACAGGUGUAGCAAUACAUGCUGACGAGCGGCGGACGGGUGAGUAACGCUUGGGAAUCUGCCUAUUAGUGGGGGACAACCCGGGGAAACUCGGGCUAAUACCGCAUACGCACUACGGUGGAAAGCCGGGGACCGCAAGGCCUGGCGCUAACAGAUGAGCCCAAGUCGGAUUAGCUAGUUGGUAGGGUAACGGCCUACCAAGGCGACGAUCCGUAACUGGUCUGAGAGGACGACCAGUCACACCGGAACUGAGACACGGUCCGGACUCCUACGGGAGGCAGCAGUGGGGAAUAUUGGACAAUGGGCGAAAGCCUGAUCCAGCGACGCCGCGUGGGUGAAGAAGGCCUGCGGGUUGUAAAAGCCCUUUCAAGUAGGGGAAAGAAAAGCCUCGAGCUAACACCUCGGGGUCUUGGCGUAACCCAUAGAAGAAGCACCGGCUAACUCUGUGCCAG